rnacentral:SRP_RNA from 1 species
GUUGGGCAUGGUGGCUCAUGCCUGUAAUCCCAGCACUUUGGGAGACUGAGGCAGGAGGAUCAUUUGAGUCCAGGAGGUCGAGACCAGCCUGGGCAACAGGGUGAGAUCCUGUCUCUA